GUCUAUGGCCAUACCACCCUGAACGCACCCGAUCUUGUCUGAUCUUGGAAGCUAAGCAGGGUCAGACCUGGUUAGUACUUGGAUGGGAGAAACUGUAUGAGGUUUGUCAAGUCAGUUCUAUUGUUC
ensembl:rRNA 5S_rRNA 5S ribosomal RNA